GAUGAACGCUGGCGGCGUGCCUAAUACAUGCAAGUCGAGCGAACAGACGAGGAGCUUGCUCCUCUGACGUUAGCGGCGGACGGGUGAGUAACACGUGGAUAACCUACCUAUAAGACUGGGAUAACUUCGGGAAACCGGAGCUAAUACCGGAUAAUAUAUUGAACCGCAUGGUUCAAUAGUGAAAGACGGUUUUGCUGUCACUUAUAGAUGGAUCCGCGCCGCAUUAGCUAGUUGGUAAGGUAACGGCUUACCAAGGCAACGAUGCGUAGCCGACCUGAGAGGGUGAUCGGCCACACUGGAACUGAGACACGGUCCAGACUCCUACGGGAGGCAGCAGUAGGGAAUCUUCCGCAAGGGGCGAAAGCUUGACGGAGCAACGCCGCGUGAGUGAUGAAGGUCUUCGGAUCGUAAAGCUCUGUUAUUAGGGAAGAACAAAUGUGUAAGUAACUAUGCACGUCUUGACGGUACCUAAUCAGAAAGCCAGGGCUAACUACGUG
rnacentral:rRNA from 1 species